rnacentral:rRNA from 1 species
AACGAACGCUGGCGGCAUGCCUAACACAUGCAAGUCGAACGAGACCUUCGGGUCUAGUGGCGCACGGGUGCGUAACGCGUGGGAAUCUACCCUCAGGUUCGGAAUAACUCAGAGAAAUUUGAGCUAAUACCGGUUGAUGACGUAAGUCCAAAGAUUUAUCGCCUGAGGAUGAGCCCGCUUAGGAUUAGGUAGUUGGUGAGGUAAAGGCUCACCAAGCCGACGAUCCUUAGCUGGUCUGAGAGGAUGAUAAGCCACACUGGGACUGAGACACGGCCCAGACUCCUACGGGAGGCAGGAGUGGGGAAUAUAGGACAAUGGGCGAAAGCCUGAUACAGCAAUGCCGCGUGAGUGAUGAAGGCCUUAGGGUUGUAAAGCUCUUUUACACGGGAUGAUAAUGACAGUACCGGGAGAAUAAGCUCCGGCUAACUCCGUG